GACGAACGCUGGCGGCGUGCUUAACACAUGCAAGUCUAACGGAAAGGCCCUGCUUUUGUGGCUUGCUCGAGUGGCGAACUGGUGAGUAACACGUGAGUAACCUGCCCUUGACUUUGUGAUAACUUCAGGCAACUGGUGCUACUACCGGAUAGGAGCUCCUCCUGCAUGGUGGGGGUUGGAAAGUUUAGGUGCGUGGGGAUGGACCCGCGGCUUAUCAGCUUGUUGGUGUGGUAGUCGGUUACCAAGGGUUUGACGGGUGGCCGGGCUGAGAGGGUGAGCGGGGACAUUGGGGGAGAGAGACGGCGCAGACACCUACGGGAGGCAGAGGAGGGGAGAAUAGUGGAAUGGGGGGAAGACUGAUGCAGAAAAGCCGUGUGCGGGAGAAGGGGGUUCGGGGAGUAAAAAGCGUUCGCAGGUGACGAGGAGAGAGUGACGGUAAUGGGAAAAGAAGCAACGGCUAAAUACGUG
rnacentral:rRNA from 1 species